rnacentral:rRNA from 1 species
AGUGAACGCUGGCGGUAGGCCUAACACAUGCAAGUCGAACGGCAGCACAGUAAGAGCUUGCUCUUACGGGUGGCGAGUGGCGGACGGGUGAGGAAUACAUCGGAAUCUACUUUUUCGUGGGGGAUAACGUAGGGAAACUUACGCUAAUACCGCAUACGACCUACGGGUGAAAGCAGGGGAUCUUCGGACCUUGCGCGAUUGAAUGAGCCGAUGUCGGAUUAGCUAGUUGGCGGGGUAAAGGCCCACCAAGGCGACGAUCCGUAGCUGGUCUGAGAGGAUGAUCGGCCACACUGGAACUUAGACACGGACCAGACUCCUACGGGAGGCAGCAGUGGGGAAUAUUGGACAAUGGGCGCAAGCCUGAUCCAGCCAUACCGCGUGGGUGAAGAAGGCCUUCGGGUUGUAAAGCCCUUUUGUUGGGAAAGAAAAGCAGCAGGUUAAUACCCCGCUGUUCUGACGGUACCCAAAGAAUAAGCACCGGCUAACUUCGUG